UGGGGAAUAUUGCACAAUGGGGGAAACCCUGAUGCAGCGACGCCGCGUGAGCGAAGAAGGCCUUCGGGUCGUAAAGCUCUUUUAUGAGGGAAGAUAAUGACGGUACCUCAAGAAAAAGCCCCGGCUAACUACGUGCCAGCAGCCGCGGUAAUACGUAGGGGGCUAGCGUUGUCCGGAAUCACUGGGCGUAAAGGGUUCGCAGGCGGAAUAACAAGUCAGAUGUGAAAGGCAUGGGCUCAACCCAUGUAAGCAUUUGAAACUGUAAUUCUUGAGAAGUGGAGAUGUAAGUGGAAUUCCUAGUGUAGCGGUGAAAUGCGUAGAUAUUAGGAGGAAUACCUGUGGCGAAGGCGACUUACUGGACACAAAUCUGACGCUGAGGAACGAAAGCGUGGGUAGCAAACAGG
rnacentral:rRNA from 1 species